rnacentral:lncRNA from 1 species
GCCAAGGUAGGUGUUUGCUAGAACACAUUUAAGCAUUAGUUAUGAAAACCUGUACCUUUUGCCAAGUCUUCAACUCUUCAUUGAGCUAUCUUCACAAAAUAGUCCUAUGAAACUGAGAAAAACUGUUGGCAUGACUUGCCUCAGACUAGAGUAGGAGCAGGCUUUUGGCAUAAUCUAUUCUAAAUCUGGGGGUAAAGCAAGAACGAGAGCAUUGUGUGGAGCCUUUCUGCUGAGUUAGAUCAUCUUUAAUAACAAUGGGCUCCAUCAUGAUCUUAUGUGGGAAUCAAUAACAUUCCUUCAAAUCUGAGGCUUGCCUGCUAGUGACAAGCAGAGUGCCUGUGAUUUGGCUCAAGACGCCUAUAUGAUGCAGGUGCCAUUGAAAACGCUGCUCUUCUAAGUCCUUUGUGGCUUGUAAGUGGAGAAGAAUUUCAUCCAAAUGUUACCCUGUAAUACUGGCAUUUAAAAUUCUUAUUUAACCUUCCUCCCUUCAUCUUCCUCACCCCUUUACAGUGGAAGAAAGGCUGUUAAAAUAUUGCAAAUUAAUAAUUGGAACAUCCUGCCCCUCUUGUUCCCACUUCCUCCCCAAAUUCCUUUCCCCCUUUUCCCCAAUCCUAGUUGUCUAUCUUUUUUUUCUUCCUUACUUCCUUUUCUUUUAUUCCUCCCCACCCCACCUCCUUUAAAAAAAAAAGUCAGAAGGACAAAGCUGGUUUGUUUGGGAAAUGGACUGAUCGAAAGAAAACUUGCCGAAGUGGAAAGGUGGCUUUUAGCAUUCUGUGUUUCCAAAUAAUGAAUUUGAACACCAGGUUGGGUUAAUUAAAGUUUUUGGUAAUAAUUUACAAUUAAAUUUAUAAAUGCAGUUGUCUUGUUACAAGCCACCUUACGCAACCGCGCUGCAGGGGUGAGGAGUGGGGAGAAACCAGAAUGCUUCUGAAACUCCCACCUGUUGCUCUGAGCCCCACGCGCAUGCUAAUGCGUGGAGUGUAUGCGCAGCGUAGCUGUCUGUUUGACUGCUCAUCCAGGGAGGGAGAAGGCUUUUCAGCACCACCUAAUGUUAAAAAGGCACUAGUUUUAAGUGCAUAACUUCAUAAAUUCUGCCAACACUAUGGAUUAACCUUAUGUAGGUUUCCAGCUGAUGGACUAUGUUAAUUUUAAUCUUAGCUGAUAAAGCGAUUGGUAAUUUCUAGAACAAAUAUUUGAUAUGCUCCUAUCAAUUAUCACCCCCACCAAGCGGACAGCUAACAUGAAUUGCACUUCACUGCAGCUUUAGACAUCGGUUUAGGCUGAGACGUUGCGCCUGCCUUAGGUUGCUGACUUCUUUAUUUCAGAGCUCUGGAGACACCUAGUUUGAAAAAUGUCAUUCUGUUUUUUUUUUGUUUUUUGUUUUUUGUUUUUUGUGAGAACUUAGUAAAUCAGAAAAUACUCUUGAGUGAAAUGCAAUGUGUUUCUUUUGUAAUCAGUGCAUUUGAAAAUUCAAGCCAGCAUAUAUUCCUAGUAGAUGGAAUCAAAAUUAAGUUGUCUUUGUAGAAAGUGAAGAGCCUUUCUUCCAGCAAAAAUCCCUGCUGUAUGCAAUAGCCCUGAUUAACCCUCUCCCUUCUGCAUGUUUCCCAUGUUACAGACUUGAGACUGUCCUCAUUCCCAUAUGUAAUAGACAUCCAAAGAAUUUCAAUUGCUUUGUUGAACUUUUACUAAUGAUCUUGUUUUUAUUUUCUCUCUUGUUUUUGGUUUUUCACCAUUGAUAUUGUAUUUAGAAGGUUUCAGGUGGGUGAAACCUCCUAUUCCAUGCGUAAGGUGCCUCGCUGAAGGGAGCUCGAGGCCUGGAUCUAGGGCAGACACACAACCUCCUCCUCCUCUUCCAGCAAGGAACGCACCGAAAAGUCACAUGAUGAGAAAUAUGGUAACGGGUUUGUAACUGCCACAGCAAAACAAUUUGCCUCCAUGCCUGAAUCUUCUGUCUUGUGGCUUCAGAAACAGCUUAAAAUAAUUUUAUUUACAAGCAAGUUAUGUAAAAGAAUGUUUUAUACUAUAGCCACAAUUCUGUCAAAAAUAAGUAAAAGUUAAUUAAGAUAUUAAAAUUAUUAGAUAAUUUACUAGUAAAAGCUUCUAACUCUUCUUGUUGUUCAUUUUUUUUCCUUUUUCUUCUUUGUUUGGAUUGCAGCAUUCUGCUCUUCUGAUGAUGCGCUGUGACCCUGCAGUAGCGCAAAGGCUGCGCAGCGUUAAUGCGCAUUGCGUGCGAAUGAGCCCCUGUGAACGGUUGACUAGAUGAGUAAUCUGAUUGACUGGCUCUCUCAGUCCUAUUCUGUAGCCUUUUUGGAUAAAAUUGGGUUUUAACGUACCUUGAGUCCAACUAAUCUCAUUAAGUAAAUAUUCUCUAUGGGCCUGUCUAGUAGAUUAAUGGAUCUGGUUGGCCGUUUGCUGCGUCUAGGGGUGUUCUAUGUAGCGCAGCAGUUCGCAGCGAUUGCGCAGUGCGAUGCUGUUAGGUGGCGCCAGCGAUGUUUGCGCUCGCAUUACAGGGACCUCAACCUAGGUGCAAUCCUGUCAUGUGAGGUUUUAUUUUCUUCCUCCUCAGAAGAGAGGUGUUAUGAAUCUGAAACUUAAAGCCUAAAGGAUAAUGACCGACUUGGCAGAAAGAUUUUUUUAUGUCUUUGGCUCUUAAGAAGGAAGAACAUUGUUGAGAGCAGCAGGUCCCCCAACUUUUUGCUUUUCUGAUAAAAUGCAUGAUGAGAGAUUGAAGUCUUGUGAAAGUUGUAUAGAAAAGAAACUUUGGGGGUUGGGGAUUUAGCUCAGUGGUAGAGCGCUUGCCUAGGAAGCGCAAGGCCCUGGGUUCCGUCCCCAGCUCCGAAAAAAAGAACCAAAAAAAAAAAAAAAAAGAAAAGAAAGAAAGAAAAA